AUAGUGAUGGUGAAAUAAAAUAAAAAUAAGUAAUAAAAUAAAUAAUAUAUUAAAUAUAUUUUUAUAUGUAAUUAAUGUUUUAUUAACUAAAUUUAUAGUACUUAUAUAAUUUAUUUUUAUAAAUUAUUUUAUUUUUGUGCCUCACCUCACUCAGGUGCGCACUUUGCACGUAGGCUCCAGGACCCUUGGUGCUUUAGUGUGCGUUGAGCCUUUAAUAAUUAUGAUUUUGAGGCCAAGAAAACUUAGUGACAUGUUCUUGGCAGGAAUGUAACCAAUUUAUGACAUUCUUCAAAGCCUAUUUAUUCAGGUGCCCUACCAGAGUGCUGCUUAUGCCAGCACAAUCCUCCUGAUACACUUGUGAGGUUCUUAUUAUUUAAUCAACUUCCUUGUGGUCUUUAGUUCUUCUAACCUAAAAAGGAUUUCUCUCAUACCUGCUCU
rnacentral:misc_RNA from 1 species